rnacentral:rRNA from 1 species
GAUGAACGCUGGCGGCGUGCUUAACACAUGCAAGUCGAACGGUAAGGCCCUUCGGGGUACACGAGUGGCGAACGGGUGAGUAACACGUGGGUGAUCUGCCCUGCACUUCGGGAUAAGCCUGGGAAACUGGGUCUAAUACCGGAUAGGACUCCUGCCUGCAUGGGUGGGGGUGGAAAGCUUUUGCGGUGUGGGAUGGGCCCGCGGCCUAUCAGCUUGUUGGUGAGGUGAUGGCCUACCAAGGCGACGACGGGUAGCCGGCCUGAGAGGGUGACCGGCCACACUGGGACGGAGGUACGGCCCAGACUCCUACGGGGGGCAGCAGUGGGGAAUAUUGCACAAUGGGCGCAAGCCUGAUGCAGCGACGCCGCGUGAGGGAUGACAGCCUUCGGGUUGUAAACCUCUUUCAGCACAGACGAAGCGCAGGUGACGGUAUGUGCAGAAGAAGGACCGGCCAACUACGUGCCAGCCGCCGCGGUAA